CUGGAGACAAGAGGGCAGUGUGAUGUCACCAAGCUGCCUCUAGGUCUGAUGGAUUCCCCACCCCACUGGGAGUAUUAAGAUCUUCGACAUCACUACAGGCUUGGCAACUGUCCAGAUGUAAUGCCAGGAUCUGAUCUAUGGAAGAAAUGCUUCACUCUGCAGGAACUGGCUGUGUUCAUGAGGUAAAGGUAUGAAUGGAAGCUACACAGACCUCCAAAUGCUCUCUGUACAUGAGUUCUUCAACUCUGUCAAAUCACGUUAAAAUGGGUAAAAGUAGGGAGAAAACUCCCUAACCAGGAUGGUCCCAGAGAUCAGGAGAAAAUAUCCGACUUGCUUCCCCACUUUGCAGCUCACCUGGAGCUAAGAGGAGUCUCUGAAACUGGUCCUUCAUGAGGGUACAAUACAUAGCAGAUGGGUUGGGAGACCUUAUUCCCUCUUCUCAAUUUCCAAAGCUUGGAUUCUCCCCUUUACUCGCUCCCCCACUUCCUUUCUGUACAUGCUGGAAUGAUCUUCAUAUCACCCAUCUGCUGCUGACACACGGCCAUCACUGGAGCCUUGGGAAGGUCAGGGCCACUGUAUACUGUGUUCCUCUUGGAGGCUACUGUGGCUCCUGUCUUAUCCCAGAAACUGGGCAACAGUGGGAAGCCACAGAUAAAUGGUAGGUUCCCCAAACAAAAGGAAGCAGGAAGCUUAAGUAGUGUCACAAUCUUUAUUAUGGUUUCUGUUGUGCUCUGGGAGCUCUUCUUGGGAGUGCCAUGAAGGCUGGGGCAGAGGGAGGCGCAUGCAGCUACAGACGGGAAGACAGGGCUUGGGGAUGUUCUCCUCAGCUGUCAAGUUAGCUUCUGCAGAAAGUGCACAGAAAGGGCAUGAGGGAUUAGGGGUGUCAGAUCCUCCACUGUUACCCAAGUGCUCCCCUUCUUGUGUUUAGUCGGGAGACAGAUCAUGGCCAUCCCUUAACAGUGGGAGGGAAGCUUGCAGGCCUUUGCCAUAAUGGAUAUAGAAAGGCCAAUCCAGUGCUAUACAAACUGGAAUGUGAUUUGGCUCC